UGAACGCUGGCGGCGUGCCUAACACAUGCAAGUCGAGCGAGAAAGCUCCUUCGGGAGUGAGUACAGCGGCGGACGGGUGAGUAACGCGUAAGAAUCUGCCCUUCAGUGAAGAAUACCCUCGAGAAAUCGGGGCUAAUGCUGCAUACGUCCCUUCGGGGAGAAAGAUGGCCUCUUUGCUGUCGCUGAAGGAUGAGCUUGCGUACUAUUAGCUUGUUGGUAGGGUAAAGGCCUACCAAGGCGAAGAUGGUUAGCCGGCCUGAGAGGGUGUACGGCCACAUUGGAACUUAGACACGGUCCAGACUCCUACGGGAGGCAGCAGUGGGGAAUAUUGCGCAAUGGGCGAAAGCCUGACGCAGCGACGCCGCGUGGGGGAUGAAGGUCUUCGGAUUGUAAACUCCUGUUAAGUGGGAAGAAAGGCUUGUCCUUAAUACGGAUGAGAGAUGACGGUACCAUUAGAGAAAGCACCGGCUAACUUC
rnacentral:rRNA from 1 species